AACACGCGUGAAAAUGCAACGGAGACAACGAGCGCGGGAGUCAAACUGCCAUCCAGAGAGAAACAACAACCCAUCAAUAAAUUAUCGAGUGAUUGGGAAGGAAAAAAAAAAACCAGAUCUGCAUAUCUUAUUCCCUGAAAACCCAGCAAUUUGAUCAUCUGAAAUUUUUUGAUAAUAUAUAUAUAAUGGCAAAACUUGAACCACUUGAUCAGGAACCAAGCAAGAAGAAGAAGGCCAACCAUGGUUCCAACAACUUGUUUGUUUUCAUUGAUUAUCUCUUCCUCCUCAUAUUCCUCGGCUUCCUCACUUUCGUACUCUUCAAGAUCAUUUCUGCCAUUUGAAUGAGGGCAUUCUCUAUGGCUUAUCUAUGUCUCCAUGUUGGAUUCAGCUCUGACCAUUAAGGGCUUUGCUGUAAUUGGCUUGGUCAGAUUCACAUUCCAUAAUUAUAGAUUCUUUGUCAUAUUCCUUUAUAUUCAGGAAUCCCUUAAUUUUAAGGUCUCAAGAACUAGAUACUUAUUGUUUACCCUCUCAUAUUAUGAGUUCAUAUCCUAUCUUAUAAGUGGAUAAUCAUCCUUUUAUCACGUCAAGAAAAUAUACAAAAUCUAAUUCAAAGCUAAACACUAUGUGGCUUAUUGAGCUUUAACCAUUUAGGAAUGCUGCUGUAAUAAUGUGGAAAUCCUUGGAUAUCGAUAUCUCCAAAGGUUAAAUUUUUGGAUUUAUUUUGGUGAUUU